rnacentral:rRNA from 1 species
AUUGAACGCUGGCGGCAGGCCUAACACAUGCAAGUCGAACGAGUGGCGGACGGGUGAGUAAUGUCUGGGAAACUGCCUGAUGGAGGGGGAUAACUACUGGAAACGGUAGCUAAUACCGCAUACCAUCGGAUGUGCCCAGAUGGGAUUAGCUAGUAGGUGGGGUAAAGGCUCACCUAGGCGACGAUCCCUAGCUGGUCUGAGAGGAUGACCAGCCACACUGGAACUUAGACACGGGCCAGACUCCUACGGGAGGCAGCAGUGGGGAAGAUUGCACAAGGGGCGCAAGCCUGAUACAGCCAUGCCGCGUGUGUGAAGAAGGCCUUCGGGUUGUAAAGCACUUUCAGCGGGGAGGCGGUACCUGAAGAGGAAGCACCGGCUAACUCCGUGCCAGCAGCCGCGGUAAUUC